UACGUAGGGGGCAAGCGUUGUCCGGAAUCAUUGGGCGUAAAGAGCGUGUAGGCGGCUCGAUAAGUCCGCUGUGAAAAGUCCAGGGCUCAACCCUGGAAGGCCGGUGGAAACUGUCGGGCUAGAGUCCGGAAGAGGCGAGUGGAAUCCCGGUGUAGCGGUGAAAUGCGCAGAUAUCAGGAGGAACACCAAUGGCGAAGGCAGCUCGCUGGGACGGUACUGACGCUGAGGCGCGAAAGCGUGGGGGA
rnacentral:rRNA from 1 species